rnacentral:rRNA from 1 species
UACGUAGGGUGCGAGCGUUAAUCGGAAUUACUGGGCGUAAAGCGUGCGCAGGCGGUUUUGUAAGCCAGAUGUGAAAGCCCCCGGGCUCAACCUGGGAAUGGCAUUUGGGGACUGCAAGGCUUGAGUGCGGCAGAGGAGAGUGGAAUUCCUGGUGUAGCGGUGAAAUGCGCAGAUAUCAGGAAGAACACCCGUGGCGAAGGCGGCUCUCUGGGACGGCACUGACGCUGAGACGCGAAAGCGUGGGGAGCGAACAGG